AUUGAACGCUGGCGGAAUGCUUUACACAUGCAAGUCGAACGGCAGCACGGACUUCGGUCUGGUGGCGAGUGGCGAACGGGCGAGUAAUGUAUCGGAACGUGCCCAGUCGUGGGGGAUAACGUAGUGAAAAUUACGCUAAUACCGCAUACGAUCUAUGGAUGAAAGCGGGGGAUCGCAAGACCUCGCGCGAUUGGAGCGGCCGAUAUCAGAUUAGGUAGUUGGUGGGGUAAAGGCCCACCAAGCCAACGAUCUGUAGCUGGUCUGAGAGGACGACCAGCCACACUGGAACUGAGACACGGUCCAGACUCCUACGGGAGGCAGCAGUGGGGAAUUUUGGACAAUGGGCGAAAGCCUGAUCCAGCCAUUCCGCGUGCAGGAUGAAGGCCCUCGGGUUGUAAACUGCUUUUGUACAGAACGAGAAGGUUUUUACUAAUACUAGGAGCUCAUGACGGUACUGUAAGAAUAAGCACCGGCUAACUACGUGCCAGCCGCCGCCGUAA
rnacentral:rRNA from 1 species